AAUUACCCUAAAAUUGACGGUAUCAUUCUGUCUGAAUUACAGAUUUUGCUGAUGUUUAGGUUUAAAUUUACGGUACACAACCAUUAAAUCAUACCAUCAUUUGUAUAGAAAGUAGAAUGUUAAAAAGUAUGGUAUAUUUAAGCAACACAUCAUGACAGGCCGUGGUAUGUGCUAAUUAUAUCACAGUUAAGGGGCAUUGUUCGGGCCGACACAAAGCACUUAAUGCAAUAGAAAACUAUAAAUGUUGUAUUAUUGUCAAAACACAGUGAAUUGGAAUAAGAUUAUUUUUAUUGUCCCACAGGAAAACAUAGGCCUACAACAAUCGUUAGAGUUUAUCAUAUAGAGUUUUAUUGCAACAUUGUUAACACAUCCUUUUUGAAUAAUAUGGAAGUCCAUUUCCGCCAAAUUAUGAGAUACUAAGUCAAAAUUAUGAGAUAGCUAAGUCAUAAUUAUGAGAUACUAAGUCAAAGUAUCUCAUAAUUUUUGUCAAGUGGCGGAAAUGGGCUUCCAUAAAAUAAUAGUAUAUUUUAUUUUAUAUCUUUCUUUUGUACAGUGAAAACACAAUUUCUAUUUUUAUUUUAUUCUUGUACAUGUCCUUUUUUUAUUAUAUGUAAAACAUGACAAUGAAAACGUUGUUGUGUUUGUAGUUGUUCGUGUCAAUAAAGCUUUAUUGAAUUGAGGAGAGAGACACAGAGAACGACAGAGAGAGAGAGAGAGAGAGAGAGACAGAGACAGAGAGAGAGAGAGAGAGAGAUGACCGCGGAGUUAACGGAAGCUAGAAAUUUUGAAUUUCAGUUCACCGCCAUUGUUUCGCGCCCACAGGAGCAGUGUUUGUUGUUGUGACAGAGAGACAGACACACAGCUAGAUAGAUAGAUAGAUAGAUAGAUAGAUAGAUAGAUAGAUAGAUAGAUAGAUAGAUAGAUAGAUAGAUACAGACAGACAAGACAGACAGAGAAGAGAGAGAGAGAGAGAGAGGACCGCGAAUUAACGCAAGCUUGAAAUUUCAGGUCACCGCCAUUUCUUCGCGCCCACAGGAGCAGAGUCUCUUCUUCAGCACGGUGCAGCUGGAUAAUGUAAGGCAAUCAACUUUGCAGGAAUGCGGUAUGGCCAGUACUCUGAUUCGUCGUCAUCGUUAUCAGCACUCAUCUUCAGUGAGUACAUUUAAAUAGAUUGGCUUCUGAACUGGUGCUGCCAUUAAAUGUUUUUGUUUCUUCAUACCUGUCAAAUACUUACAUGGCCACAUCAAUAAUUAUGUCUCCCAUAUAUGUCUACUACCCUGUUAUCUGGAGUUCCUUAAGGGUAAAUCCUCAGAACUAUCCUUAAA
rnacentral:lncRNA from 1 species